rnacentral:rRNA from 1 species
CUCCAUGUGUAGCGGUGGAAUGCGUAGAUAUAUGGAAGAACACCAGUGGCGAAGGCGGCUCUCUGGUCUGCAACUGACGCUGAGGCUCGAAAGCAUGGGUAGCGAACAGGAUUAGAUACCCUGGUAGUCCAUGCCGUAAACGAUGAGUGCUAAGUGUUGGGAGGUUUCCGCCUCUCAGUGCUGCAGCUAACGCAUUAAGCACUCCGCCUGGGGAGUACGACCGCAAGGUUGAAACUCAAAGGAAUUGACGGGGGCCCGCACAAGCGGUGGAGCAUGUGGUUUAAUUCGAAGCAACGCGAAGAACCUUACCAGGUCUUGACAUCCAGUGCAAACCUAAGAGAUUAGGUGUUCCCUUCGGGGACGCUGAGAC